AACGUAGGAGGCAAGCGUUAUCCGGAGUUACUGGGCGUAAAGCGCAUGUAGGCGGUUGGGCAAGUGGCGUGUGAAAGCUCCCGGCUAAACUGGGAGACGACAGGUCAGACUGCCGGACUGGAGUCCGAUAGAGGAGCGUAGAAUUCCGGGUGUAGCGGUGAAAUGUGUAGAGAUCCGGAGGAAUACCAGUGGCGCAAGCGGCGCUCUGGGUCGGGACUGACGCUGAGAUGCGAAAGCGUGGGGAGCGAACGGG
rnacentral:rRNA from 1 species